AUCCCAUGAUGAGGACACUUAUGCAGUAACUCCUUAAAUCGUUCCAAAGCCUCAGAAAAAGAUUCGUAAUCUAAUUGUUGGAAAGUUGUGAUCUCGUUCCUCAACUU
rnacentral:snoRNA from 1 species